UCUACCCCUAGAGGAGUUGCAGGUGUGGCUGCUGUGUCACUAUGUGUCAGUAGGUGGCAGAAAAGACAGAGUCUGUGUUUACACUCAGUGUUCUGACCUAUGAACAUCUGAAUUAUCAGUAGCCUAAAACU